GUGCUCGCUUUGGCAGCACAUAUACUAAAAUUUGAAUGAUGCAGAAAAGAUUAGCAUGGCCCCUGUGCAGGGGUGAUAUGCAAAUUCAUGAAGCGUUUCAUACUUUU